UACAGAGGGCCCAAGCGUUGUUCGGAUUCACUGGGCGUAAAGGGUGCGUAGGCGGUCGGGUAAGUCUGAUGUGAAAUCUCCAAGCCUAACUUGGAAACUGCAUUGGAUACUAUCCGGCUCGAGGAAUGGAGGGGAGACUGGAAUACUUGGUGUAGCAGUGAAAUGCGUAGAUAUCAAGUGGAACACCAGUGGCGAAGGCGAGUCUCUGGACAUUUACUGACGCUGAGGCACGAAAGCCAGGGGAGCAAACGGG
rnacentral:rRNA from 1 species